rnacentral:misc_RNA from 1 species
AACGCACAUUGCGCCCUUUGGUAUUCCGAAGGGCAUGCCUGUUCGAGCGUCAUUUUCACCCCUCAAGCCCCCGGCUUGGUGUUGGACGGUUUGGUCCCGGGACCCCCCUGGACCCCUCCCAAAGACAAUGACGGCGGGCUGUCGCACCCCCGGUACACUGAGCAUCUUCACGGAGCACGUAUCGGUAUUCAGGGUCGACGGCACCCGGUCUCACACCUAUAUCUUUCAAGGUUGACCUCGGAUCAGGUAGGAAUACCCGCUGAACUUAA